rnacentral:rRNA from 1 species
UAGAGUUUGAUCCUGGCUCAGGAUGAACGCUAGCUACAGGCUUAACACAUGCAAGCCGCGGGGCAGCAUGAAGGUUGCUUGCAACUUUUGAUGGCGACCGGCGUACGGGUGAGUAACGCGUAUCCAACCUUCCCUUUGCUAUCGGAUAGCCCGUCGAAAGGCGGAUUAAUACGAUAUGUUCUCCGAAGAAGACAUCUGACUCGGAGGAAAAGCGCGAGCUGGCACUGGAUGGGGAUGCGUCUGAUUAGCUAGUCGGCGGGGUAACGGCCCACCGAGGCGACGAUCAGUAGGGGUUCUGAGAGGAAAGUCCCCCACAUUGGAACUGAGACACGGUCCAAACUCCUACGGGAGGCAGCAGUGAGGAAUAUUGGUCAAUGGGUGAGAGCCUGAACCAGCCAAGUAGCGUGCAGGAGUACGGCCCUAUGGGUUGUAAACAUGCUUUUAUGCGCGGGAUUAAUAGGAAAGCACGUUGUGCUUUUUUGCAGGUACCGCCAUGAAUAAGGACCGGCUAAUUCCGUGCCAGCAGCCGCGGUAAUACGGAAGGUCCUGGUGUUAUCCGGAUUUAUUGGGUUUAAAGGGAGCGUAGGCGGCUAGUUAAGCGUGUUGUGAAAUGUAGUUGCUCAACAUCUGCACUGCAGCGCGAACUGGCUGGCUUGAGUGCGCGGAAGGCAGGCGGGAUUUGUGGUGUAGCGGUGAAAUGCUUAGAUAUCACGAAGAACUCCGAUUGCGAAGGCAGCUUGCCGCAGCGCUACUGACGCUGAAGCUCGAAGGUGCGGGUAUCGAAACAGGAUUAGAUACCCUGGUAGUCCGCACAGUAAACGAUGGAUGCCCGCUGUCCGGCAUUAAGUUGGGCGGCCGAGCGAAAGCAUUGAGCAUCUCACCUGGGGAGUACGCCGGCAACGGUGAAACUCAAAGGAAUUGACGGGGGCCCGCACAAGCGGAGGAACAUGUGGUUUAAUUCGAUGAUACGCGAGGAACCUUACCCGGGCUUGAAUUGCAAGAGAAGGAAGUAGAGAUACUGACGCCCUUCGGGGCUCUUGUGAAGGUGCUGCAUGGUUGUCGUCAGCUCGUGCCGUGAGGUGUCGGCUUAAGUGCCAUAACGAGCGCAACCCCUGUCCUUAGUUACCAUCAGUUCGGCUGGGCACUCUAAGGAUACUGCCUCCGCAAGGAGUGAGGAAGGUGGGGAUGACGUCAAAUCAGCACGGCCCUUACGUCCGGGGCUACACACGUGUUACAAUGGCGCUGACAGAGUGCAGGCGGCCGGCAACGUCCGUCUAAUCACCAAACUGCGCCUCAGUUCGGACCGGGGUCUGCAACCCGACCCCGCGAAGCUGGAUUCGCUAGUAAUCGCGCAUCAGCCAUGGCGCGGUGAAUACGUUCCCGGGCCU